UUUCUCUUAGCUUAAUCUUAAAGCGUUAGUUUGAAGCACUGGAGUUAACUGUUGUUAGAGGGGC
rnacentral:tRNA from 1 species